rnacentral:lncRNA from 1 species
UUCCUUAGAUCUGCAGGAUUGAAAUGAAAUGUUUUGAGGUCUUCAAGCUGACUCAUCAGAAUAAUCCUGGAACAUUUUUAAAAUGACGGAAAUGAAAGGAAAUGACUUAAAAACAAUUUUAAAUAUAGGAAGAAAUCACCAAGGGAAGAAGAUGAUGGAAUCUUAUUUACUUACUAAAGCAGAAGAGAAAACAAAACAAAACAAAAGAAAACCUCAAUAUCUAAGGGACAGCAGAAACAGGAAGCGCUUCUAGAGCAGAGCUGUCAUCCUUUCCUGGAAGCUGCUGCUCAGUAGCCUGUCUCCAGCGAAACUGCUAAUGGUGACAACACAGGCAGAUUCUGGAAGGGGAACUCAAGGAUUCACAGGUCAGACAUGUCUGUUAACAGCAUGGUGAGUCCCUUUUGACGUUGGAAAGAGAAGGAAUUAGGACUGUUAAAUUUUAUAUAUAUUCUUCACUAGCUGGAUUAAAAAAAAUCCCAGGUUUUGAUACUGAGGUUCUAGAAACUCUAGGAAGAGGCUUCUUCCAG